rnacentral:piRNA from 1 species
UUGCCAAGUGAAUGCCAAAUGUAUGGGAAAU